rnacentral:tRNA from 1 species
AGCCCAGAAAGGGCGCCAGACUCAUAAUCUGGAGAACGCAUCAUAGGGGUCCAGAAGUCGCGGGCUCAAAUCCCGC